rnacentral:rRNA from 1 species
UACGUAGGGUCCGAGCGUUGUCCGGAAUUAUUGGGCGUAAAGAGCUCGUAGGCGGCUGUUCAAGUCGAACGUGAAAACUCGGAGCUCAACUCCGAGCCUGCGUUCGAUACUGGACGGCUAGAGUCUGGUAGGGGGAUCUGGAAUUCCUGGUGUAGCGGUGGAAUGCGCAGAUAUCAGGAGGAACACCGAUGGCGAAGGCAGUUCUCUGGGCCGUAACUGACGCUGAGGAGCGAAAGCGUAGGGGAGCGAACGG